UACAGAGGGUGCAAGCGUUGUUCGGAAUUAUUGGGCGUAAAGAGCUCGUAGGCGGCCUGUUGCGUCCGCUGUGAAAGCCCGGGGCUUAACCCCGGGUCGGCAGUGGAUACGGGCAGGCUAGAGGUAGGUAGGGGAGAAUGGAAUUCCCGGUGUAGCGGUGAAAUGCGCAGAUAUCGGGAGGAACACCGGUGGCGAAGGCGGUUCUCUGGGCCCUACCUGACGCUGAGACGCGAAAGCGUGGGGAGCGAACCGG
rnacentral:rRNA from 1 species